rnacentral:rRNA from 1 species
UACGUAGGGUGCAAGCGUUGUCCGGAAUUAUUGGGCGUAAAGAGCUCGUAGGCGGUUUGUUGCGUCGGCUGUGAAAUCCCGAGGCUCAACCUCGGGUCUGCAGUCGAUACGAGCAAACUAGAGUGUUGCAGGGGAGACUGGAAUUCCUGGUGUAGCGGUGAAAUGCGCAGAUAUCAGGAGGAACACCGGUGGCGAAGGCGGGUCUCUGGGC